rnacentral:tRNA from 1 species
GGAUUGUGGCUCAGUGGUAGAGCGCUCGCCUAGCAUGUGUGUAGGCCCUGGGUUCAAUCCUCAGCACCA